GCUCAUAAGAGGUACUUGGACUUCAGUGGCACACAACUGGGCAGGCUCCAUCUCGUCUGCUGCUGGAACCCACUAGAAACCAAAUGAGCCCUCCAGCAGGCCUAAUCACUCUGAUCUGUCAUGGACCUUCUAGCUGGAAGAGUUAUGCCAUCAUAUUAUCCCAACACUCAUCAGUGUGUGGAGGACCCCCUUUUACUGAAUGAUUUAUUGCUCUUUGCAGAAUUCCUUUGGCUGCAGAUUUUAUUUCUGAGUCACUCUGUUCAGCUCAAUUGGUCGCCUUCAGUUACCGUGGCAACCAGCAGAUGGGGUUCUUUGACAAGGGUCAGCGGGGAGGCUGCCUUGGUUUGGACAGAAGAGGAGCUAAAUAAAAAGCUUUCAGCAUUGACGGUUCCGUAGCGGACGGCCAGGAGUUGUUAUCAAAUUACUUGCAUUAAAACCUAAUUAAGAUGUGUGCCAAUAAGUGGGCUGUAGUGAUUGAAUCUGGUUACUUAGCUGCUGUGGGCCCAAUCUUAUGCCAUCACACCUCUGUGGCUAGUUU
rnacentral:lncRNA from 1 species